GAUGAAGAACGUAGCGAAAUGCGAUAAGUAGUGUGAAUUGCAGAAUUCAGUGAAUCAUCGAAUCUUUGAACGCACAUUGCGCCCUUUGGUAUUCCAAAGGGCAUGCCUGUUCGAGCGUCAUUUGUACCCUCAAGCUUUGCUUGGUGUUGGGCGUCUUGUCUCUAGCUUUGCUGGAGACUCGCCUUAAAGUAAUUGGCAGCCGGCCUACUGGUUUCGGAGCGCAGCACAAGUCGCACUCUCUAUCAGCAAAGGUCUAGCAUCCAUUAAGCCUUUUUUUCACCUUUUGACCUCGGAUCAGGUAGGGAUACCCGCUGAACUUAAGCAUAUCAAUAAGCGGAGGA
rnacentral:misc_RNA from 1 species